rnacentral:rRNA from 1 species
UACGGAGGGAGCUAGCGUUGUUCGGAAUUACUGGGCGUAAAGCGUACGUAGGCGGUUAUUCAAGUCAGAGGUGAAAGCCCGGGGCUCCACCCCGGAACUGCCUUUGAAACUAGAUAGCUAGAAUCUUGGAGAGGUCAGUGGAAUUCCGAGUGUAGAGGUGAAAUUCGUAGAUAUUCGGAAGAACACCAGUGGCGAAGGCGACUGACUGGACAAGUAUUGACGCUGAGGUACGAAAGCGUGGGGAGCAAACAGG